AGCAUUGAAAAACCGGUUCUCAGAAGGUCACCGAAGUUAAGCAACGUUGAGCCUGUUUAGUACAUAGAUGGGUGACUGCUUAGGACUACCAGGAGCUGCAAG